UGUAAUCCCAGCACUUUGGGAGGCCGAGGCAGGCAGAUCACGAGGUCAGGAGGUCGGGACCAUCCUGGCUAACACGCUGAAACCCCGUCACUACUAAAAAUACAAAAAAUUAGCCGGGAGUAGUGGCGGGCGCCUGUAGUCCCAGCUACUCGGGAGGCUGAAGCAGGAGAAGGGCGUGAACGAACCUGGGAGGUGGAGCUUGCAGUGAGCCGAGAUUGCGCCCUUGCACUCCGGCCUGGGCUACAGAGCCAGACUCCGUCUCAAAAAAAAAAAAACAAAAACAAAAACAAAAGAUGCCAUAAGGAAUAAGGAUCUUUAUACUUCACGUAUGGAUGGCAAAAGAGGGCCAAAAAUAGAUAUGGAGAUAAUCCAGAUAAUCAUUAAGUAUAUUUAAGAAUAGUGUAAACUUUGGCCAUUGUAAUUGCUAUAAAAUAAAAAUAUGACAGAUUUCUGGAUGUUUUAUAUAUAUACAGAUUAUAUUUUAUAGAUACUAAUGUUUGCCAACAUUUCUAAUAUAAACUUAGAGUUUGAAAUGUUUCAUCAAAACAUUUAAUACAUGUAAAAUAUAUACAAAGUUAAAUACAAUAAAAUCAAAAUAAUGUGGAAACUAGAAUCUACUUGACAUAUCUCCCUAGCAAGAUAGUGUUUUUUUUUUUUCGACUGUACUAUAUUAUACAAAUGGCCUGUUGCUACACAUAUUCUGUACAUGCCAUAGUUAUGUCUACAAAUAUGGAAUAGCUGGAAUAAAAUGGAAAAAUCUAAACACCAAAGAUGUUUGUACAUGGUUGUAUAUGAAAUUAUCAUGUUGACAAAAUAGCCAGAUAAUAACUAAAUUUUUCAAACUCAAGAUUUUUGUUGUCUUAUAGGUGUAACCUUUGGUCUAUUUGUUACAGAUUAUAAGUCUAUGUUACUUGAGUGUGUGAAUGAAUAAAGGAAACAUUUAGUUUAUCCUGCA
rnacentral:lncRNA from 1 species